AAACACCAAAUAUAAAUGCAAUAUAACGUGGGAGUAACAUGUAAUGUAACAGAUGUUACACUCUAUUUAUAUUAUAGUUACGAAACUUUACUACAUAUAUGUGAUGUAACAAAGUUAUGAAGCUAUAAUAUUACUCCGUUAUUUGUAUGUUACAAUAACCGAACAGUGACGUAACCACAAUGUUGCGUGGUUACACAACAAUUGUUUUAUUUAUGUUAUAUGGAUAUUAUAAAAUGUGAAUCUUGUGAGACUCUAACCUCAAUCGCACAACGUACAUCUCGUGCUAUUAGGCGCGCUUUCCGCUAGUGGAUGCUAUAAUGACGAAAGAGAGACGUUGUUUUCUUGCAACUUGACUUUAAUCAGGAUUCUGCCAAUUAUUCUUACAUCAUUCGGACAACUGUUCUUCUUAAAAUUUAAAAGAACGUAAAGAAUAACUGAAGUUUAUAAAAGCUGAAGAAAUUUUCACAAGGAUUAGAACAGGUAAGAAUAAAUUAUAGCCAUUAUAUGUUUUUAGAAUAAAACCCAGCAAAUUAGAGAUGGGACUAAUCAAAUGUUCCUUCUCAAGUUCCACUUUUGUGCACAUUUCCAGAUAAUCAUAUGCACAUCCACUGGUCAUUCUUAAAUUAUUCUAUAAAUAAAAAUAUCUUAUUUUGUCUUUCGUCUCAUAUAUGCCUAUUUUGUAGUCUUUCGUCUUAUACAUGCCUCAAUUUACAAACAAUUAAGUUAGAGAAUCAAAAAUAUAAAUAAAAAUUCUGAAUGUUAUUAUUGUGAAUGUAUGAAGAGAAUUGUAUUAAUUAGAAUAAAUUACGUAUUUAGAAUAUUCGGAUUGGUACGAAUGAACUGUCAUGCGCAUGUACGCAUCUCGCUAUUUUGCACGCCAGUGCACGCGUCUGCACGCGCAACGCCGCAACAUGAUGAUGUGCGCGAGGUCAGUAGCGAGUCAGUUUUCAGUUUUAUGCAUAAUUUGCAGAUUUUAUCGUGAAGGGAAAUACGGCUGUGCUUAAUUUAAAGUUUAGUCUAACACUAUGGAUUGUAUAAUCAGAUAAGUCUCACAAAAUUUUUAUUUUUUUGUAUGGAGUAGGUAUUCUGAGAUAAGAUGAAUACUUUGUGUUAUGUUUUAUUUUUAGUUAUAUUAAAAGCAAGAGAGGAAGAAACACUAUUUGAGCGUAAAGUAAAAGAGUAGACGAGUAAGGAAAGAAAGAUGUAAAAGAGAGAUCAACCUCACAGCUUGGAAUUUACAGUGUGCCGAACAGAAUAUGUGGACCUUGAAGGUAUCAAAUAACAUAAUUUUACUAAAAAAGUUAUAGGAUGAAGUGAACAAUUUAUUUUUUGUGUGAGAAAGUAUCUAUUACAAUCUAACUUGUUCCGAGAAAACCUUUACAAAAGAUUUAAUAAAGAACAAGCAAUUUGAUGAGAUUAUCAUAUCAUUAUUAUCAUAUUUAUUAUUCGAAUUUUAAAGAGAAACAGUAAGAAAUUUUAUUAAUACAUUAUUAAAAAAUUGUUGGCUGUUACACCAAAAUUCUCUUUCUUGUAAGCUGAUGUAUGCUAUUGAUAAAAAAUUCACCAAAGUUCAUCCCUGUUUUAGCUCAGCGAACCAUUAUAUGUAUAGAGAAUUGACAGAGCAAUUCAUAUCAAAAGGAUUAUCUAAAGGUGUACUUCCUAGUUCUUCAAGUAUGUUAUUUUAUGGCAUUAUCUUAUGGCAGGCUAGAUUACUGAAAUAAAUAAAAAGCGUGAAAUCUGAUCUGAAACAAUUACAACAAAGUAUACAGACUAAUAUCACUCAACUAACCUGCCUAUGAUGUG